GUGUGUCCCCGGGAUUCAGGGGUUCCUAAUUUGGCUCCGUAUUAGAGUCCCGCGAGAGGAAGGAAUCCGAAUCCAGAUCCGAUUCUUCACACUUCCUUUAUACAAGUUAGCCCACCGAAGCCUGGGUGGGGCAAAAGGUUUCCUUUGCUUUACAGACCCACAACGGUUGUAAAUGCAAGGACUGGUUGCAAACAUACUAUCAUAACUGCAGUUGCUAAAUGAGGACUAUGUUACUAUCUGUCUACAUAGUGUAGGAGCUCCAGUUACAACAUCCAUGACAGAUGCCUUGUUGUCUGUAUCUGAAGGUAUCCAGUGAAUGGAAACUUAUCAACUUGCUAAUAAACAGUUCCAUUGCUGAACUAUUUCAGCAAUA